AUCAAGGUGAGACUCUUGACUCUCUGCCCCAGAACAUGAAGCAGAAUUACGACGACUACGCAGACUCGGACGAUGACCAACAUGACGCGUACCUGGAGCAGGUGAAGGCUGAGGGUCGGAUACGAGAGGAAGCUGCCAAUGACAGUGAAUCCGGGGAGGACACAGGUGAGUCCUUCUAUCCAGUUGAAGUGGGAUGCAGAGGAU